UGAUCCAAGUCGGAAAUUGCAUUGGCAUCAAAGAAUAUGCUUAAUGGAUGUCUAUGUUGGAGUUUCCCCAAACUGGGAAAGCUAAAGAAGCAGCCAGAGCGAAGUCUCUGGAAAAAGUAUAAUAAUGGGAGCAGUCUCAAGACGGGAUACGCAUCAUGCCGUGAGAGAUAGAGGCCCUUAUCCCGAUUUCAUCUUGUUUCUUUUCUAUUUUUACCUGAUGGAUCCACAAAGCAAACAAGAUAAGGCCCACCACCACCAUCAAUAUCACCAUAGCCCACGUGAUCUUCAUCUUAAUUACAUCAAUUCGCCACUCAUUCACACAUGAAGACAAUUCCAACUCCAAUCCAAUGCCCAAUUUUUCCACUGCACUACUAAUUCUAUUACGGUACAAUGGAUCAUUUUAACCGAUAUCUAUGCCCGUCAACUGCUACGGGAUUGGCACCUAGUCGGCUAUUUCCUUUACUGGGCGGGUAAAUAAUUUAUCUUCUUCAAUAAUCAUCCUCAAACAAGAACUGGGGUCCGGUUGUCUUGGACGGGAGCUACCCGUUGCCAUUCUAGAUAUUCGCAGGUUCUCUGCUACAUGGGUCCCUUGUUUGUUGAUACUGAGUUGGUUCAUGAAACUGAAUAGAAUAUAUUUGUUUGAUUGAGCACUGUGAUCAGCAAGAAACCUUUCAGAUGUUUUUAGUUCUAAAUUGAAGGUAAGAUGUGGAGGAACAAGUGCAACCAUCAUAAGUUUGAAUUUUAGUCUGAUCCUCAGAUCUGAGUUAUUCCAAUAUGGGCAGCAACAAGACCAUUGUUUGGUUUAGGAGGGACCUUAGAAUUGAGGACAAUCCUGCAUUAGCUACUGCAGCCAGGGAUGGUUGUGUAUUUCCUGUCUUCAUAUGGUGUCCUCAAGAAGAAGGACAAUUCUACCCAGGUCGAGUAUCAAGGUGGUGGCUGAAGCAGUCUCUUGCCCACUUUGGACAGUCACUGAAAUCUCUUGGGGCUGAACUCAUAUUGAUCAAAACUCAUAGUACUCUCUCUGCUCUUUUGGAUUGCAUAAAUGCCGUUGGAGCAACAAGAGUGGUAUUCAAUCAUCUCUAUGAUCCAGUAUCACUUGUUCGAGAUCAUAACAUCAAAGAAAAACUGCUGGAGCUUGGCAUUACUGUGCAAAGCUAUAAUGGGGACUUGCUGUGUGAACCGUGGGAAAUAUAUGAUGAAAGUGGAAAUGCUUUUGUGAGAUUUGACUCGUUUUGGGACAAGAGCCUGCACAUGCAAAUGGAACCUGUUUCACAUCUUCCUCCAUGGCGACUACUGCCAGCUCCAGGAAAAUUUGAGAAAUGCUCAAUUGAGGAAUUGGGUCUUGAAGAUGAAACAGAAAAAUCUAGCAAUUCCUUACUAGGAAGGGGAUGGUCCCCAGGUUGGAGCAAUGCUGAUAAGGCACUGACUGAAUUUGUUGAACAGCAUCUAAUUGAUUAUUCAAAGAAUAGGCUAAAGGUUGGGGCAAACUCCAGCUCACUUUUGUCUCCAUAUCUUCAUUUUGGAGAACUGAGCAUAAGGAAAGUUUUCCAAUGUGUGCGAAUAAAACAGUUGCUGUGGGUGAAAGAAGAGAACUCAAUAGGGAAAGAAAGCGUGACUCUGUUUCUUAGAUCCAUUGGGCUUAGGGAAUAUUCCCGAUACCUUUGUUUUAACUUUCCUUUCACUCAUGAGAGAUCGUUGCUGAGCAACUUAAAGUAUUUUCCCUGGGAUGUCAACCAGGGCAAUUUUAAGGCUUGGAGACAGGGACGAACCGGUUAUCCCCUAGUUGAUGCAGGAAUGCGUGAGCUUUGGGCAACUGGUUGGAUACAUAAUAGAAUCAGAGUGAUUGUUUCAAGUUUUGCUGUAAAAGUUCUGCUUCUCCCAUGGAGAUGGGGGAUGAAGUAUUUUUGGGACACACUUUUGGAUGCAGACUUGGAAAGUGAUAUACUUGGUUGGCAAUACAUUUCUGGAAGCUUACCUGAUGGCCAUGAGCUUCAACGUUUGGAUAGCCCAGAGAUUCAAGGCUCAAAAUUUGAUCCAGAGGGCGAAUAUGUGAGACAGUGGCUGCCUGAGCUCGCAAGAAUGCCAACUGAAUGGAUCCAUCAUCCUUGGGAUGCACCUCUUUUAGUGCUUAAAGCUGCAGGGGUGGAACUGGGACAAAACUACCCAAAACCUAUAAUUGAAUUAGAUUUAGCUAGAGAACGUCUGACUGGAGCCAUAUUCAAGAUGUGGGAAAUGGAAGCGUCUGCAAGGGCUUCAGAUUCAGGCGGAACAAAUGAAGUUGUCGUUGAUAACACUGUUGGCACUGGAAAUCUGGCGAUUCCAAAGGUUAUGUUAAAAGAAAAAGCUCCUUGUUCAACCAUUUCAUCUAAUGAUCAGAAAGUACCAACAAUUCAAAAUCCUAAGUGCAAUCCAGCUCACAAGAAGAGAUCAAAGUACAUAGAAGAGGAAAGACCAAAUCGAGAUAAAAUGCAUAAAGGUAAUGGCAUAAAAGGCACCUCCAGAACAGAUGAAGACUUGUGCUCUACUGCUGAAUCUUCAGCAACUGAGAAGCAGGCUACCAGCAGGUUUUCAUUUUCUGUACCCCAGUAUUGUUCAUCAUCAGAAAGCCAGCCCUUGCAUGAGGUUGAAUCAUCUGAUGUUAGGCAGCCAUUGCAAGUGCAAAUUGACAGGGAACAUGUUUCAAGCAAAGAUGGAUCUGAAGUUGUCCCACAGCAGGAGAAAAAAUAUUGGUAUCAUGAAAAAUGCCUUCUCUGACAUUUUCUAGCUCUCACUGAAAAAUCCCUGCGGAGACCUUAUUUCGUAUGUCCUGGAAAUACAUGUAGGGGUCAUCUUCAAUUUUACGAACCCAAAAUAAAAGUUGCUGCGGGAACUUAAUGCCUACAUCAAUCAUAAGUUGGUUUGACUCCAUAUUUCUUUUUAUCUGAGAAGGAGAGCUGUUUGUGACAUAUUCUAUAACUUUUACAAUAGUAUCACUUGACGUGACUGAACUGUAAGAGUGCAAGUUCUAUGUUUAAUAUUCUGCAUUUUGGCUGAUAUAUUGCAUCUCUUUGGACAGCUCAAGUUGUAGAGAACAGGGUCAAGCCAUUAGGCCUAGUUAUUGGCUAUAUAUGUGUCUGUGAGUGUGUGUAUAUGUAUUCUACUGUAGCUCAUAGAAUUAUUAUUAUAGUAAAUGAAGGAAGCGCCUUUUGUGUCUCAA